GUAGUAUUCCCUCCGUCCCAAAAUUCUUGUCUUACAUUUGUUUAGAUAUGGAUGUAUCUAAUACUAAAAUGUAACUAGAUACAUCCGUAUUUAGACAAAUUUAAGACAAGAAUUUUGGGACGGAGGGAGUACAAA
rnacentral:pre_miRNA from 1 species